rnacentral:tRNA from 1 species
UAAUGGUGAGCACUCUGGACUCUGAAUCCAGCAGUCUGAGUUCAAAUCUCAGUGGGACCU